rnacentral:rRNA from 1 species
CUGGCUCAGGACGAACGCUGGCGGCGUGCCUAAUACAUGCAAGUCGAGCGAACAGAGAAGGAGCUUGCUCCUUCGACGUUAGCGGCGGACGGGUGAGUAACACGUGGGCAACCUACCUUAUAGUUUGGGAUAACUCCGGGAAACCGGGGCUAAUACCGAAUAAUCU